rnacentral:tRNA from 1 species
GGGCGAAUAGCUCAGCUGGGAGAGCAACGGCCUUACAAGCCGUAGGUCACAGGUUCAAUCCCUGUUUCGCCUA